GCCAGGCAUGGUGGCGCAUGCCUGUAGUCCCAGCUACUCAGGAGGCUGAGGCAGGAGAAUCACUUGAACCCAGGAAAUGGAGGUUGCAGUGAGCCGAGAUCAUGCCACUGCACUCCAGCCUGGGCUACAGAGGGAGACUCCGUCUCAA
ensembl:misc_RNA Metazoa_SRP Metazoan signal recognition particle RNA